GAUGAACGCUGGCGGCGUGCCUAAUACAUGCAAGUCGAGCGAACAGACGAGGAGCUUGCUCCUCUGACGUUAGCGGCGGACGGGUGAGUAACACGUGGAUAACCUACCUAUAAGACUGGGAUAACUUCGGGAAACCGGAGCUAAUACCGUAUAAUAUAUUGAACCGCAUGGUUCAAUAGUGAAAGACGGUUUUGCUGUCACUUAUAGAUGGAUCCGCGCCGCAUUAGCUAGUUGGUAAGGUAACGGCUUACCAAGGCAACGAUGCGUAGCCGACCUGAGAGGGUGAUCGGCCACACUGGAACUGAGACACGGUCCAGACUCCUACGGGAGGCAGCAGUAGGGAAUCUUCCGCAAUGGGCGAAAGCCUGACGGAGCAACGCCGCGUGAGUGAUGAAGGUCUUCGGAUCGUAAAACUCUGUUAUUAGGGAAGAACAAAUGUGUAAGUAACUAUGCACGUCUUGACGGUACCUAAUCAGAAAGCCACGGCUAACUACGUG
rnacentral:rRNA from 1 species